UAUCUCUGUAGAGUCUGCAUAUCAAUAAGCGGAGGAAAAGAAACUAACAAGGAUUCCCUUAGUGACGGCGAGUGAAGCGGGAAGAGCUCAAAUUUGAAAUCUUCAAGGUUCUACCUUGACGAAUUGUAGUUUAAAGAAGUGUUUUCUGUUAGAUGAGUAGCAAAAGUUCCUUGGAAUGGGACAUCAUAGAGGGUGAGAAUCCCGUAUUUGGUUAUUCAUUCUAGCUUUGUGAUACACUUUCAAAGAGUCGGAUUGUUUGGGAAUGCAGUCCAAAAUGGGUGGUAAAUUUCAUCUAAAGCUAAAUAUUGGCGAGAGACCGAUAGCGAACAAGUACCGUGAGGGAAAGAUGAAAAGAACUUUGAAAAGAGAGUUAAACAGUACGUGAAAUUGUCAAAAGGGAAGCGUUUGACACCAGUGUUGUUUUUCCGAAAACCAAUUACGAAUGGCUUGAUUUUGUGUUGUAUUGACCUUAUCAGCUUUCUUCACUUUUUUCGAGUCUUUCUUAAUGCACUUUUCGGUUAACAAGUCAACAUCAAUUUCUUUUGUUGUAAAAGAGUAUUCGGAAGGUGGCUUUCUUUUCGGAGAAAGUGUUUAUAGCCCUAUACUUCUACAAUCGGAGAGAUUGAGGUCUGCAGCGUAGAUCCUUCGGGGUUAGAUACACUUUGUGCUAAGUUGUAGCUUUUCAUAGACGACUUGUUGACUAUGUUUAGUCAUGCGGCUUACUCGCUUAUGCUAUUUUACCUACGCUUAGGAUGUUGACUGAUAUGUAGUCGUA
rnacentral:rRNA from 1 species